rnacentral:rRNA from 1 species
CACCGGCAGCUCUAGUGGUAGCAGUUUUUAUUGGGCCUAAAGCGUCCGUAGCCGGUUUAAUAAGUCUCUGGUGAAAUCCUGUAGCUUAACUGUGGGAAUAGCUGGAGAUACUAUUAGACUUGAGACCGGGAGAGGUUAGAGGUACUCCCAGGGUAGAGGUGAAAUUCUGUAAUCCUGGGAGGACCGCCUGUUGCGAAGGCGUCUAACUGGAACGGUUCUGACGGUGAGGGACGAAGGUUAGGGGCGCGAACCGGAUUAGAUACCCGGGUAGUCCUAACUGUAAACGAUGCGGACUUGGUGUUGGGGUGGCUUUGAGCUGCUCCAGUGCCGAAGGGAAGCUGUUAAGUCCGCCGCCUGGGAAGUACGGUCGCAAGACUGAAACUUAA